rnacentral:misc_RNA from 1 species
GAUGAAGAACGCAGCGAAAUGCGAUAACUAAUGUGAAUUGCAGAAUUCAGUGAAUCAUCGAAUCUUUGAACGCACAUUGCGCCCGCCAGUAUUCUGGCGGGCAUGCCUGUUCGAGCGUCAUUACAACCCUCAGGCCCCCGGGCCUGGCGUUGGGGAUCGGCGGAGCCCCCCGUGGGCACACGCCGUCCCCCAAAUACAGUGGCGGUCCCGCCGCAGCUUCCAUCGCGUAGUAGCUAACACCUCGCGACUGGAGAGCGGCGCGGCCACGCCGUAAAACACCCAACUCUUCUGAAGUUGACCUCGAAUCAGGUAGGAAUACCCGCUGAACUUAAGCAUAUCAAUAAGCGGAGGA